rnacentral:sRNA from 1 species
AAGGAUGGCUACAAUUCUUGCUUACCUACCAAAGCCUCAA